AACGAACGCUGGCGGCAUGCCUAACACAUGCAAGUCGAACGAGACCUUCGGGUCUAGUGGCGCACGGGUGCGUAACGCGUGGGAACCUGCCCUUAGGUUCGGAAUAACUCCCCGCAAGGGGUGCUAAUACCGGAUAAUGUCUUCGGACCAAAGAUUUAUCGCCUUUGGAUGGGCCCGCGUUGGAUUAGCUAGUUGGUAGGGUAAAAGCCUACCAAGGCGACGAUCCAUAGCUGGUCUGAGAGGAUGAUCAGCCACACUGGGACUGAGACACGGCCCAGACUCCUACGGGAGGCAGCAGUGGGGAAUAGUGGACAAUGGGCGAAAGCCUGAUCCAGCAAUGCCGCGUGAGUGAUGAAGGCCGUAGGGUUGUAAAGCUCUUUUACCCGGGAUGAUAAUGACAGUACCGGGAGAAUAAGCUCCGGCUAACUCCGUG
rnacentral:rRNA from 1 species